UACGAAGGACCCGAGCGUUAUCCGGAUUUAUUGGGUUUAAAGGGUGCGCAGGCGGACUAAUAAGUCAGUGGUGAAAGCCUGAUGCUUAACAUCAGAACUGCCAUUGAUACUGCUAGUCUUGAGUACGGUUGAGGUGGGCGGAAUGUGUCAUGUAGCGGUGAAAUGCUUAGAUAUGACACAGAACACCAAUUGCGAAGGCAGCUCGCUAAACCGUAACUGACGCUCAGGCACGAAAGCGUGGGGAGCAAACAGG
rnacentral:rRNA from 1 species